GAGUUUGAUCCUGGCUCAGAACGAACGCUGGCGGCAGGCUUAACACAUGCAAGUCGAACGCCCGCAAGGGGAGUGGCAGACGGGUGAGUAACACGUGGGAAUGUACCCCAAGGUACGGAAUAUUCUCGGGAAACUGAGGGCAAUACCGUAUGUGACCGAAAGGUGAAAGAUUUAUCGCCUUGGGAUCAGCCCGCGUUGGAUUAGCUAGUUGGUGGGGUAAAAGCCUACCAAGGCGACGAUCCAUAGCUGGUCUGAGAGGACGACCAGCCACACUGGGACUGAGACACGGCCCAGACUCCUACGGGAGGCAGCAGUGGGGAAUCUUGGACAAUGGGCGCAAGCCUGAUCCAGCCAUGCCGCGUGAGUGAUGAAGGCCUUAGGGUUGUAAAACUCUUUCGUCAGGGACGAUAAUGACGGUACCUGAAGAAG
rnacentral:rRNA from 1 species